rnacentral:tRNA from 1 species
GGGGACUUAACUCAGUGGUAGACUGCUCGCUUUCAUGCGAGAAGCCGCGGGUUCAAUUCCCGCAGUCUCCA